GAUGAACGCUGGCGGCGUGCCUAAUACAUGCAAGUCGAGCGAACAGACGAGGAGCUUGCUCCUCUGACGUUAGCGGCGGACGGGUGAGUAACACGUGGAUAACCUACCUAUAAGACUGGGAUAACUUCGGGAAACCGGAGCUACUACCGGAUAAUAUAUUGAACCGCAUGGUUCAAUAGUGAAAGACGGUUUUGCUGUCACUUAUAGCUGGAUCCGCGCCGCAUUAGCUAGUUGGUAAGGUAACGGCUUACCAAGGCGACGAUGCGUAGCCGACCUGAGAGGGUGAUCGGCCACACUGGAACUGAGACACGGUCCAGACUCCUACGGGAGGCAGCAGUAGGGAAUCUUCCGCAAUGGGCGAAAGCCUGACGGAGCAACGCCGCGUGAGUGAUGAAGGUCUUCGGAUCGUAAAACUCUGUUAUUAGGGAAGAACAAAUGUGUAAGUAACUAUGCACGUCUUGACGGUACCUAAACAGAAAGCCACGGCUAACUACGUG
rnacentral:rRNA from 1 species